UGUUCUGCGGCUUAGUUGGUUAAAGCGCUGGGCUAGUGAUACGGCGUCGAGGGUUCGAGCCCUACCGAAACAA
rnacentral:tRNA from 1 species